CUUUGAUAUCUUUACAUAUUGUAAUGAAAGUCACUUCCUCAUCAAUGGAAAACAGUUUAGCAUACGACCUGCGACGCUUCGUGCCCGCAUUGUUUUAAUGAAGCGCUAACGUGAUUCAAUGCUGGCGUAAAACGCGCUUCAUAAAAAUGUCUGCGUGUGUGUAGCGUUGCAAUUCGUACCCUCCUUUAAUUUCAAAAAUAAAAUUUAUUUCUUGAGUGUAUCAUUAAUUGUAUUUUCCUAAUGUUACAGGCUUAGACGAGAAUGAACUCUCUUACAUUUAUCAGUUCUUCAAUGAUAUUUAUAAAUGAGUCAAUUUUCUCAUUGAUUAGAAUAAUAAAACGACAUUUUCCCCCACAGCAUUCACGUCCUCCACAGGCGGUUCCUCGGCCUCGGAGAGCUCCAGUAAUUUAGGUUUUAUUGCUGGUGCCGUGGCGGCGGUCAUAGUGAUAGCUGUAGCAGUUGUUGUUGGAAUAGCGCUGUAUGUUAAAUCAAAAACAAGGGUAGAACCGAGUGAUCGGGACGAUAAAGAGAACAUUCAACAUUCACUAUGAUGCAUGGUAUAAGGUAACACGUGCCAUUCCUGUUCGUCCUGGAUACGAUGAAGGUCCAUACAGGGUUCUUCAGAUGGGAUAAAAUUCAAAUGAACUGUGAACUAUUGUUUUCGACUGUGAGGGAAUAAAUCAAAAUUGGCAAAGGAUGUUGUUAAAUUUAAUCUCUAAGUUUAAUAUAUCAGAUAUCGUGAUUAUUGAUAUUUCUGAAAUAAAUGUUUAUUUUGCUUAGAAGGGAAAUAUUUUCUUUCAUAUGUAAUGAAAUUUUUUAAAUACUCGAAGACCAGUGACAUUUCUACGACAUGACAAACGUUGUGAUAUUGUUCUUUUCCGUUUGUGUUGUACAAUCUAAAUUUGUAUUGAAUAAUUUCUUAUAUGUAUCGUAUAAUUUUCAUUUGUAUUAUACUAUGUUGAUAUGAAUUGCAUACUUUUUCAUUUGCAUCAUGUAUUGUUUUUUAAAAUUUACAUGUAUUUCUAUUUGUGUAAACGAUAAUGUUUCAUUCGUAUUGUGUAUUUGUAUUUACAAGGAAAGAAUAUAUUUGUUAAGUUUGUUAGCCUCAAAGUCUGAGCCUCAAGGGUGGCAUGAUGACGUUUCUACUUUUUUCUUUACACAUUAGUAAAAUUGUAUAGUAGACUAGGUUUACAAUACAUAUAUUUUACAUAAUAAACUGGUGCAAAUGUA